CCUCCUGUAGCUCAGUGGUUAGAGCGGCGGCCUUAUAAGCCGCGUCAGCGCGGGUUCGAUUCCCGCCGGGAGGA
rnacentral:tRNA from 1 species